rnacentral:rRNA from 1 species
GUCCACACCGUAAACGUUGGGCGCUAGGUGUGGGACUCAUUCCACGAGUUCCGUGCCGCAGCUAACGCAUUAAGCGCCCCGCCUGGGGAGUACGGCCGCAAGGCUAAAACUCAAAGGAAUUGACGGGGGCCCCGCACAAGCGGCGGAGCAUGCGGAUUAAUUCGAUGCAACGCGAAGAACCUUACCUAGGUUUGACAUAUACGAGAAGCCUCUAGAGAUAGAGGUCUCUUUGGACACUUGUAUACAGGUGGUGCAUGGCUGUCGU